AUUGAACGCUGGCGGAAUGCUUUACACAUGCAAGUCGAGCGGCAGCGCGGGGCAACCUGGCGGCGAGCGGCGAACGGGUGAGUAAUACAUCGGAACGUGCCCAGACGUGGGGAUAACUACUCGAAGAGUGGCUAAUACCGCAUACGAUCUACGGAUGAAAGACGGGGAGUCGCAAGACCUCGCGCGUCUGGAGCGGCUGAUGGCAGAUUAGGUAGUUGGUGGGAUAAAAGACCUACCAAGCCAACGAUCUGUAGCUGGUCUGAGAGGAUGAUCAGCCACACUGGGACUGAGACACGGCCCAGACUCCUACGGGAGGCAGCAGUGGGGAAUAUUGCGCAAUGGGCGAAAGCCUGACGCAGCCACGCCGCGUGAGCGAUGAAGGCCUCGUGU
rnacentral:rRNA from 1 species